GUACGAUAAGGGCAAAACCAUUGAAAAAUGGUGACGCAAAGCUAUAGGGGCUAAUUUGGGUAAUCAUACACCAAAAUGCCAGCCAGCUGCCGAA
rnacentral:ncRNA from 1 species